CGCGUAGGCGGGCUACCAAGUCCGGGGUGAAAUCUUUCGGCUCAACCGGAGAACUGCCUUGGAUACUGGUAGUCUCGAGGGAGGUAGGGGUCUGUGGAACUGAUGGUGGAGCGGUGAAAUGCGUUGAUAUCAUCAGGAACGCCGGUGGCGAAAGCGACGGACUGGACCUUCACUGACGCUGAGGCGCGAAAGCUAGGGGAGCAAACGGGAUUAGAUACCCCGGUAGUCCUAGCCCUAAACGAUGGGUACUAGGUUGUGGACUAGACAUGGGUUCACAGCCGAAGCAAAAGUGCUAAGUACCCCGCCUGGGGAGUAUGGUCGCAAGGCUGAA
rnacentral:rRNA from 1 species